rnacentral:snRNA from 1 species
AAUGUAGUCUUAUGCAAUACUCCUGUAGUCUUGCAACAUGCUUAUGUAACGAUGAGUUAGCAAUAUGCCUUACAAGGAAAGAAAAGGCACCGUGCAUGCCGAUUGGUGGUAGUAAGGUGGUACGAUCGUGCCUUAUUAGGAAGG